GAACGGCAGCGCGGGGCAACCUGGCGGCGAGUGGCGAACGGGUGAGUAAUAUAUCGGAACGUACCCUGGAGUGGGGGAUAACGUAGCGAAAGUUACGCUAAUACCGCAUACGAUCUAAGGAUGAAAGUGGGGGAUCGCAAGACCUCAUGCUCGUGGAGCGGCCGAUAUCUGAUUAGCUAGUUGGUAGGGUAAAAGCCUACCAAGGCAUCGAUCAGUAGCUGGUCUGAGAGGACGACCAGCCACACUGGAACUGAGACACGGUCCAGACUCCUACGGGAGGCAGCAGUGGGGAAUUUUGGACAAUGGGCGAAAGCCUGAUCCAGCAAUGCCGCGUGAGUGAAGAAGGCCUUNCGGGUUGUAAAGCUCUUUUGUCAGGGAAGAAACGGUGAACUCUAAUACAGUUUGCUAAUGACGGUACCUGAAGAAUAAGCACCGGCUAACUACGUGCCAGCAGCCGCGGUAAUACGUAGGGUGCAAGCGUUAAUCGGAAUUACUGGGCGUAAAGCGUGCGCAGGCGGUUAUGUAAGACAGAUGUGAAAUGCCCGGGCUUAACCUGGGAACUGCAUUUGUGACUGCAUGGCUAGAAUCUGGCAGAGGGGGGUAGAAUUCCACGUGUAGCAGUGAAAUGCGUAGAGAUGUGGAGGAACACCGAUGGCGAAGGCAGCCCCCUGGGUCAAGAUUGACGCUCAUGCACGAAAGCGUGGGNAGCAAACAGGAUUAGAUACCCUGGUAGUCCACGCCCUAAACGAUGUCUACUAGUUGUCGGGUUUUAAUUAACUUGGUAACGCAGCUAACGCGUGAAGUAGACCGCCUGGGGAGUACGGUCGCAAGAUUAAAACUCAAAGGAAUUGACGGGGACCCGCACAAGCGGUGGAUGAUGUGGAUUAAUUCGAUGCAACGCGAAAAACCUUACCUACCCUUGACAUGGCUGGAACCCUGGAGAGAUUCGGGGGUGCUCGAAAGAGAACCAGUACACAGGUGCUGCAUGGCUGUCGUCAGCUCGUGUCGUGAGAUGUUGGGUUAAGUCCCGCAACGAGCGCAACCCUUGUCAUUAGUUGCUACGAAAGAGCACUCUAAUGAGACUGCCGGUGACAAACCGGAGGAAGGUGGGGAUGACGUCAAGUCCUCAUGGCCCUUAUGGGUAGGGCUUCACACGUCAUACAAUGGUACAUACAGAGCGCCGCCAACCCGCGAGGGGGAGCUAAUCGCAGAAAGUGUAUCGUAGUCCGGAUUGUAGUCUGCAACUCGACUACAUGAAGUUGGAAUCGCUAGUAAUCGCGGAUCAG
rnacentral:rRNA from 1 species